AAAUAAAAAAUGAAGAAAAACUUAUCAGGUAAUGAAAUUUUGCAUUCAUAUAAUUUUAUAUCUUCUUUAAUGAAUUAUUCAAGAAGGGCGUGAAUUGAAGCUAUAUUGAUCGAUUGACAUAGAU
rnacentral:ribozyme from 13 species